GAUGAAGAACGUAGCGAAAUGCGAUACGUAAUGCGAAUUGCAGAAUUCAGUGAAUCAUCGAGUCUUUGAACGCACAUUGCGCCCCCUGGUAUUCCGGGGGGCAUGCCUGUCCGAGCGUCAUUGCUGCCCUCAAGCACGGCUUGUGUGUUGGGCCUCCGUCCUCCUCCCGGGGGACGGGCCCGAAAGGCAGCGGCGGCACCGCGUCCGGUCCUCGAGCGUAUGGGGCUUCGUCACCCGCUCUUGUAGGCCCGGCCGGCGCUUGCCGACACAUCAAUCUUUUUUCCAGGUUGACCUCGGAUCAGGUAGGGAUACCCGCUGAACUUAAGCAUAUCAAUAAGCGGAGGA
rnacentral:misc_RNA from 1 species